AUGUCGAGCUGCGCAGCACGGUGCCGAGCUCGACGCCAAGACCUCGAGCUGAACAGCGAGUGUCGAGCUGGACGUCAGGACAUAGAGCCGGACGGCAGGGUGUCGAGCAUGACUUCACCGCGUGGGGCUGGACAUCGAGAUGUCGAGGUGGACAUUAGGGUGUCGGGCAUGGACGCGAUCCCCUUUGCCCAGUGUGGUCCUUAUGCCUUUCUUUUCAUAGCUUGUUUGUAUAUGAAAAAAAUAAUGAUUCUACCAAGCUAUACCAGUAUAUGA